rnacentral:rRNA from 1 species
GGAAAGUUUUUUCGGUUGGGGAUGGGCUCGCGGCCUAUCAGUUUGUUGGUGAGGUAAUGGCUCACCAAGACGACGACGGGUAGCCGGCCUGAGAGGGCGACCGGCCACACUGGGACUGAGACACGGCCCAGACUCCUACGGGAGGCAGCAGUGGGGAAUAUUGCACAAUGGGGGAAACCCUGAUGCAGCGACGCAGCGUGCGGGAUGACGGCCUUCGGGUUGUAAACCGCUUUCAGCAGGGAAGAAGCCCUUCGGGGUGACGGUACCUGCAGAAGAAGUACCGGCUAACUACGUGCCAGCAGCCGCGGUAAUACGUAGGGUACAAGCGUUGUCCGGAAUUAUUGGGCGUAAAGAGCUCGUAGGUGGUUGGUCACGUCUGCUGUGGAAACGCAACGCUUAACGUUGCGCGCGCAGUGGGUACGGGCUGACUAGAGUGCAGUAGGGGAGUCUGGAAUUCCUGGUGUAGCGGUGAAAUGCGCAGAUAUCAGGAGGAACACCGGUGGCGAAGGCGGGACUCUGGGCUGUAACUGACACUGAGGAGCGAAAGCAUGGGGAGCGAACAGGAUUAGAUACCCUGGUAGUCCAUGCCGUAAACGUUGGGCACUAGGUGUGGGGGACAUUCCACGUUCUCCGCGCCGUAGCUAACGCAUUAAGUGCCCCGCCUGGGGAGUACGGUCGCAAGGCUAAAACUCAAAGGAAUUGACGGGGGCCCGCACAAGCGGCGGAGCAUGCGGAUUAAUUCGAUGCAACGCGAAGAACCUUACCAAGGCUUGACAUACACCAGACCGUUCUGGAAACAGUUCCUCCCCUUUGGGGUUGGUGUACAGGUGGUGCAUGGUUGUCGUCAGCUCGUGUCGUGAGAUGUUGGGUUAAGUCCCGCAACGAGCGCAACCCUCGUUCUAUGUUGCCAGCACGUAAUGGUGGGAACUCAUAGGAGACUGCCGGGGUCAACUCGGAGGAAGGUGGGGAUGACGUCAAAUCAUCAUGCCCUUUAUGUCUUGGGCUUCACGCAUGCUACAAUGGCUGGUACAGAGAGAUGCGAGACCGCGAGGUUUUAGCGAAUCCCUUAAAGCCAGUCUCAGUUCGGAUCGUAGUCUGCAAUUCGACUACGUGAAGUCGGAGUCGCUAGUAAUCGCAGAUCAG